rnacentral:rRNA from 1 species
UGACGCAGCCACGCCGCGUGCCGGAAGACGGCCCUACGGGUUGUAAACGGCUUUUGAUUGGGAAGAAUUGGCGGGUUUUGAUCUGCCUUGACGGUACCGGUCGAAUAAGCACCGGCUAACUCCGUGCCAGCAGCCGCGGUAAUACGGAGGGUGCAAGCGUUGUCCGGAAUCAUUGGGUGUAAAGGGUGCGUAGGCGGACUUUUAAGUCUGAGGUGAAAUCUUGCCGCUUAACGGUAAAAUGGCCUCCGAUACUGGGAGUCUUGAAUCUGACAGAGGUCGGUGGAAUUCGUAGUGUAGCGGUGAAAUGCAUAGAUAUUACGAAGAACACCAGUGGCGAAGGCGGCCGGCUGGGUCAGUAUUGACGCUAAGGCACGAGAGCGUGGGGAGCGAACAGGAUUAGAUACCCUGGUAGUCCACGCUG